rnacentral:rRNA from 1 species
UACGUAGGCAGCAAGCGUUGUUCGGAAUUACUGGGCGUAAAGAGUGUGUAGGCGGUGCUCUAAGUUUGGUGUGAAAUCUCCCGGCUCAACUGGGAGGGUGCGCCGAAAACUGGAAUGCUUGAACAUGGGAGAGGAAAGCGGAAUUCCUGGUGUAGCGGUGAAAUGCGUAGAUAUCAGGAGGAACACCUGCGGUGUAGACGGCUUUCUGGACCACAACUGACGCUGAGGCGCGAAAGCUAGGGGAGCAAACAGG